rnacentral:tRNA from 1 species
AAAAAGAUAAGUUAAGUCAAACUACUGGGCUCAUACCCCAUCUAUAAAGGUUAAAACCUUUUCUUUUUA